CAAUAGUGUAUAUUAAAGUUGUUGCGGUUAAAAAGCUCGUAGUUGGAUUUCUGUUGAGAACGCCCGGUCCGCACUAUGUGCGUGUAUCUGGUUCGGUCUUGGCAUCCUCUUGAGGAACGUAUCUGCGCUUGAUUGCGUGGAGCGGUAUUCAAGACUUUUACUUUGAGGAAAUUAGAGUGUUCACGGCAGGCAAGCGCCUUGAAUACGUUAGCAUGGAAUAAUAAUAUAGGAUCUUGGUUCUAUUUUGUUGGUUUCUAGGGCUAAGGUAAUGAUUAAUAGGGAUAAUUGGGGGCAUUUGUAUUAACGCGUCAGAGGUGGAAUUCUUGGAUUGCGUUACGACAAACUACUGCGAANGNAUUUGCNAAGGAUGUUUNCAUUG
rnacentral:rRNA from 1 species